GUUUCAGCCGCCGCGGUAAUACGUAGGUGGCAAGCGUUGUCCGGAAUUACUGGGCGUAAAGGGCGUGUAGGCGGUCUGAUAAGUCAGACGUGAAAUCUCUGGGCUUAACCUGGAGGCUGCGUUUGAAACUGUCGGACUUGAGGACCGGAGAGGGCAGUGGAAUUCCCAGUGUAGCGGUGAAAUGCGUAGAUAUUGGGAGGAACACCAGUGGCGAAGGCGACUGCCUGGACGGCACCUGACGCUGAGGCGCGAAAGCUAGGGGAGCAAACGGGAUUAGAAACCCCGGUAGUCC
rnacentral:rRNA from 1 species